GCUUUAAUAGUUUAAACUAAAACUUUGAUUUUGUAAAUCAAAAUUGAUUAAAAAUCUUAAAGCU
rnacentral:tRNA from 1 species